GUCACGAUAGCUCAGGUGGUAAAGCAUCGGCGUCUUUAGCCGAAGGUCGUGGGUUCGAAUCCUGCUUGUGACG